GCUCUCGCUGGUUCAUAUAUUGGUAGAGCAUGACUCUUAAUAUCAGGGAUGUGGGUUCAAGACUCACGUUGAGCA